GGAUCAUUACCGAGUUAUCUAAACUCCAAACCCAUGUGAACUUACCCCGGUUGCCUCGGCGGGAACGCCUUCAGGUCAGUACGCGGUGACACAGCUUACCCUGUACUUACCCUGUAAGAGCCUACCCUCCAGCUACUCUGUAGCGGGGGCCCGCCAGAGGAUCAAAUCAAACUCUUUUUCUCGUGGCACUCUGAAUAUUACGAUUUAAUAAGUCAAAACUUUCAACAACGGAUCUCUUGGUUCUGGCAUCGAUGAAGAACGCAGCGAAAUGCGAUAAGUAAUGUGAAUUGCAGAAUUCAGUGAAUCAUCGAAUCUUUGAACGCACAUUGCGCCCACUAGUAUUCUGGUGGGCAUGCCUGUUCGAGCGUCAUUUCGACCAUUAAGCCCUGUUGCUUAGUAUUGGGAAUCUACUGUAGCAGUAGUUCCUGAAAGCUAGUGGCGGAGUCACGGCGUGCUCUCAGCGUAGUAAUAUCUUCUCGCUCGUGAAUAGCCUUGGCCCCAGCCAUAAACCUUUUAUAAUAUCCAAUGGUUGACCUCGGAUCAGGUAGGAAUACCCGCUGAACUUAAGCAUAUCAAUAAGCGGAGGAAAAGAAACCAACAGGGAUUCCCCUAGUAACGGCGAGUGAAGCGGGAACAGCUCAAAUUUGAAAUCUGGCCUUCUGGUCCGAGUUGUAAUUUGUAGAGGUAGAGUCUUAGUCUGGUGCCUUCCGAGUUCCCUGGAACGGGACGCCUUAGAGGGUGAGAGCCCCGUACGGUUGGUUACCAGUCUAUUGUGAUUCGCCUUCGACGAGUCGAGUAGUUUGGGAAUGCUGCUCUAAAUGGGAGGUAAAUUUCUUCUAAAGCUAAAUACCGGCCAGAGACCGAUAGCGCACAAGUAGAGUGAUCGAAAGAUGAAAAGCACUUUGAAAAGAGGGUUAAAUAGCACGUGAAAUUGUUGAAAGGGAAGCACUUAUGACCAGACUUUUUCUUGGCGGAUCAUCCGGUGUUCUCACCGGUGCACUUCGCCAGGUUUAGGCCAGCGUCGAUUUCCGCAGGGGGAUAAAGGCUUCGGGAAUGUGACUCCCUCCGGGGAGUGUUAUAGCCCGUUGCGUAAUACCCUUGCGGGGAUCGAGGU
rnacentral:rRNA from 1 species